rnacentral:rRNA from 1 species
GAGUUUGAUCCUGGCUCAGAUUGAACGCUGGCGGCAUGCCUUACACAUGCAAGUCGAACGGCAGCACGGGAGCUUGCUCCUGGUGGCGAGUGGCGAACGGGUGAGUAAUGCAUCGGAACGUAUCCUGGAGUGGGGGAUAACGUAGCGAAAGUUACGCUAAUACCGCAUAUUCUGUGAGCAGGAAAGCGGGGGACCUUCGGGGCCUCGCGCUCUUGGAGCGGCCGAUGUCGGAUUAGCUAGUUGGUGAGGUAAAGGCUCACCAAGGCGACGAUCCGUAGCAGGUCUGAGAGGAUGAUCUGCCACACUGGAACUGAGACACGGUCCAGACUCCUACGGGAGGCAGCAGUGGGGAAUUUUUGGACAAGUGGGGGCAACCCUGAUCCAGCCAUGCCGCGUGAGUGAAGAAGGCCUCGGUUGUAAGUA